AAACUCGGAUGGGGCGAGGGGUAUGAGAACUUCAAUGGCUGCAUCGAUGAGUUCACACUGUACAGAUGUAGACCUGACGGACCUCUCGUAUAGAAAACAUUUUCCUGUGAACGCCAAUGCACGGAAAACAGAAUUUUUCAUCUCCAAAAUGACAUUUUACGUUAACUCUCUUUCAACUGUUAACCUGCCAUUUUUUUUCAUUGUAAAUAUCCAUUUGAUUUAUGUUUGAGCCAGCGAUGCAUCAUAGUGCUUGGUUCUUAUACCUUUAAGGAGGCGAGGGUGGCCAUUGGGUAUUUUAUAUUCAUAUUUCAACUCUGUAAAUAUACCUCACUAAUUGCAAUUCACAUUGGCAAUAUACGUUGGCAUCAUCCAGAACAUCUCAGGCCUUUUAUGAAAGGCUCGAGGUGCUCUGGAUGAAGUUAACCUUGAAUUUUGUAAAAAAUUCAUUCAUAUCAUAUUUGAGGUAAAAAUGAUUACAAUAACUGACCCGAGCUUCCCUAAAUGUAUCGCCAUUUAUUCGAUUUGAUAUGAAGAUUUCAGUUUAUUGACGAGUAUUGUCUUGUUUUUCUUAAACAUAUACAUGUAAAUAUAUUUAUUUGAUUAAUGAACCGAAAUAUGUAUUUGUUUUGAAACAAAUGGUUUAGAAAUAUAUAUUAGAUUUAUGAAUUUCAUAUUUAUUUGAAUUAUUAACCAAACAAUGAGAUUGAUCAUUUGAGUAUUUAUUUUCCAUGAAAAAAUGUAGACUUUUUAAAUUUUGACUUUUAGUCCAGUGCUUAGAAUAUACCUUACAUUCACAUUUUAUAAAUCAUGUAUGUAUUUCAAUCACGCAUGUUCAUCAUGACUUAAACAUGUUGCAUUUAUUCAGUUAUUUGAAAAGCUCAAUUUCUAAAAAUGAAUAAUUAUUGAAAACUGAUGAUUUCGGGCCUUUUUGAUUGCUUCCUAAACUGUACUGUAAUUCAAUUAUUUCAACAAUAUGUAUUUGAGAAAUAAAUAUUUUUCAAAAU
rnacentral:misc_RNA from 1 species